UAUUAGAAAGCGAAUUAUUGCAAUUAGUUUCGACCUAAUCUUUAGGCUAAUAGCCUUCUAAUAAC
rnacentral:tRNA from 1 species